rnacentral:rRNA from 1 species
UCAGCCGCCGCGGUAAUACGUAGGGUGCAAGCGUUAAUCGGAAUUACUGGGCGUAAAGCGUGCGCAGGCGGUUAUAUAAGACAGAUGUGAAAUCCCCGGGCUCAACCUGGGACCUGCAUUUGUGACUGUAUAGCUAGAGUACGGUAGAGGGGGAUGGAAUUCCGCGUGUAGCAGUGAAAUGCGUAGAUAUGCGGAGGAACACCGAUGGCGAAGGCAAUCCCCUGGACCUGUACUGACGCUCAUGCACGAAAGCGUGGGGAGCAAACAGGAUUAGAAACCCUAGUAGUCC